rnacentral:lncRNA from 1 species
GUCAUCAUUUAGAACUUGGAAAUCAGCAAAUGCUACGAAUCAGGACUUGGUUUAUUGUUCCUUUGGCUCUCUAUUUUAAAGAAGUGAUGAUAAUUUAAUGAUGAAGAUUAAUCCUAAAAUUGUGUUGCAUGUAUUUUUAUUUCAGAGUGCUAUCUUUAAAUAUUUACUGACAUAUGACUUCUUAGAAUACCGAGGUGAAGGUUUGGUUUUGGACACAGAGUCAAUAUGUGUCAGAGGACUUGCAUCUAGAUCUUCAUAAAUCCAAGAAAAGAGAAGAAGAUACCAGAAGGUUAGAAAUAAUCACCGACCUUUCUACUAACUCUACCCCGUCUAAGAGGCAAAGUUGAGAAAACAUUAAUGACUCCUGCCUCACAUGCCUUCUUUCCCAUCUCUACAAAAUCUUCAUGAAAAUAAUCUACAAAUAUAUCUUUGCAAGAGGACAAGAAAGGAACAGCAUAAGACCAAAGUUUCAGGAGGUCUGUACAUCCAUCCUCUGUACCCUUCUUCAAGGUAAGAGAAGCUUACAGACUCAGGACCCAUGGUCUGGGUGGAAGUUUCUCCAGACAAAAAAAAAAGAGUAACCUGAACAUCAGCCCACACAGAUUUCCCAGCUCAGCAAAGUCUCAAGGAACCUUGGGAGAUAUACUGUGGAUAUACAUGUAUUGAAAUUCAUGCAAGAUUCCUUCAAAGAAGCAACAGUAGCAAUUACUUUAUUCAAUAACAUUAUAAUAAAUUUUCAAGUGAAGUAAAAGUAUUUGGAAGC